UACGUAGGGGGCAAGCGUUGUCCGGAAUCAUUGGGCGUAAAGAGCGUGUAGGCGGCCCGAUAAGUCCGCUGUGAAAGUCCAGGGCUCAACCCUGGAAUGCCGGUGGAUACUGUCGGGCUCGAGUCCGGAAGAGGCGAGUGGAAUUCCUGGUGUAGCGGUGAAAUGCGCAGAUAUCAGGAGGAACACCGAUGGCGAAGGCAGCUCGCUGGGACGGUACUGACGCUGAGACGCGAAAGCGUGGGGAGCAAACAGG
rnacentral:rRNA from 1 species